rnacentral:tRNA from 1 species
CGGGGAGUGGCUCAGUUUGGCUAGAGCGCUGCGUUCGGGACGCAGAGGUCGGAGGUUCGAAUCCUCUCUCCCCGA